AGUCACACGGGGAGCUAGGGCUUCAACCUAUGGCUUUUGGGGGAUACAGUUCAGUCCAUAGCAGUGGGGAAAGGAUGUGACUCAGUCUAGAGAGACUCAAGGAGGGAAUGCUUAGAUAGGAGCAUGGAGGGCGUGCCUGGUGAAGGGAACAGUAUGGCACAGCUUCAGAGGCAAGGGUGAGCCAGCAGCAAGGGGCUGGCUAUGGCCGGUACAAAAAGCAUGUGCUCGUGGGAAAUAGGCACCAAAGAAGGCCCAGAGAGGUUUAACAACUUCCUCAGAAUCACACAGCUUCCAAAUGGUUGGGUUGGGUUUACAUUUAGGCGGUCUUGCUCCAGAGCCAGUGCUCCUAACCUUUGCAAGCCACGAACCUCAAGAAAGUGGAGAAGGAAACGCUGGGAAAUCUGGAAGUCAGACAUGGCAAAGAGCUAAUGCUGGCAGCUGUUGGGAUGUCCUCUUCCAGGAAUGGUGAUGAGUUUCCCUGGAUCCAGCCCUGGCUUGGCUGAGGUCCUUGGAACAGGAGAAAGGGUUGGAAAACAAAGAUCACUUUUCUCUGGCCAAAUGGAAUCACCCAACAAAGUACCUUCCUGAUGGGCCAGCUAUUUCAGAUGAUGAAGGUUUAAGAAGCAGCAUCAUCAGCGAACUGUGUUUUGAAGAUUUGAGGGAAGGGCUGACCUCAGGAUUUUAUACUAGUUGCUGACCUCCAUAACAGCAGACAAAAUUGGAAGCAAGAGUGAUUUUGGAGGAGUCACACUUAGAUGUUUCCCUUACCUAUUUCUGUUCUGGAAAUUUAAAAAUCUUACUUCUCGUGACAGUCCUACAUGAAAAAUUAAAAAUCACAAGGAUUCAUGGAUGGAAAACUGAGACUCAGAGAAUGAUCACAUUCACAUCGUAAUAAAUCAGCAAUAGAGUGAGUGAUUGUUCCUUGGUAAGAAAUCAACUCUAAACUCAGUUGGAAACCUUUGCCAAUAUUACUUAACACAUGACAAUCUGGUGUGACUCAUUUUUCUUGACAUUAUGCAAAUAAAGGAAACAAGAC
rnacentral:lncRNA from 1 species